GUUGAACGCUGGCGGCAGGCUUAACACAUGCAAGUCGAGCGGAGCGAGGGUGCUUGCACCUUAGCUUAGCGGCGGACGGGUGAGUAAUGCUUAGGAAUCUGCCUAUUAGUGGGGGACAACAUUCCGAAAGGAAUGCUAAUACCGCAUACGCCCUACGGGGGAAAGCAGGGGAUCUUCGGACCUCGCGCUAAUAGAUGAGCCUAAGUCGGAUUAGCUAGUUGGUGGGGUAAAGGCCUACCAAGGCGACGAUCUGUAGCGGGUCUGAGAGGAUGAUCCGCCACACUGGGACUGAGACACGGCCCAGACUCCUACGGGAGGCAGCAGUGGGGAAUAUUGGACAAUGGGCGGAAGCCUGAUCCAGCCAUGCCGCGUGUGUGAAGAAGGCCUUUUGGUUGUAAAGCACUUUAAGCGAGGAGGAGGCUACUUAGAUUAAUACUCUAGGAUAGUGGACGUUACUCGCAGAAUAAGCACCGGCUAACUCUGUGCCAGCAGCCGCCGUAAUAC
rnacentral:rRNA from 1 species